CCUACGGGUGGCAGCAGUGAGGAAUCUUGGUCAAUGGGCUUACGCCUGAACCAGCCAAGUCGCGUGAGGGAAGACUGCCCUAUGGGUUGUAAACCUCUUUUGUCAGGGAGCAACGCCGGCUACGUGUAGCCGGACUGAGAGUACCUGAAGAAAAAGCAUCGGCAAACUCGGGGCCGGCAGCAGCGGUAAUACGGAGGAUGCGAGCGUUAUCCGGAUUUAUUGGGUUUAAAGGGUGCGUAGGCGGAAUGCAAAGUCAGCGGGAAAAUCGCGGGGCUCAACCUCGCUCAGCCGGUGAAACUGGCGUUCUUGAGUGGGCGAGAGGUAGGCGGAAUGCGUGGUGUAGCGGUGAAAUGCAUAGAUAUCACGCAGAACUCCGAUUGCGAAGGCAGCAUACCGGCGCCCAACUGACGCUGAAGCACGAAAGCGUGGGUAUCGAACAGGAUUAGAUACCCGUGUAGUC
rnacentral:rRNA from 1 species